UUGAACUACGUCGGUAUUUCCCCCUAGAGGAAGGGAUGAUGUAGCAUAUCUACGGUAGGUAUUUCCCUCAGUGAUGAGACCAAGGUUAUUGAAACAGUAGGAGAAUCACGCAACACUAUGUAAACGGUACCUGCACACAAACAACAAAUACUUGCAACCCGACGUGUAAGAGGGGUUGUCAAUUCCUCCCGGGAAAAAGAUAGAUAAAUUUGUAGUAGAUUGGAUAAAUAGAUCUAGCGGAAACACGAAAUAAAAUAAAUAAUAAUAAUUGCAGCAAGGUAUUUUUGGGAUUUUGGAUUAAUAGACCUGGAAAUAAAAGCAAAUAAAAAUAGAUCUCGAAGGCAAAUAUGAUAAAGAAGAGACCCCGGGCCGUAGAUUUCACUAGUGGCUUCUUUCGAGAAAAAUAGCAUACGGACUAAGGAUCACUGGACAGGGGUCAAGAACAUCCUGAAAUACCUGAAAAGGACUAAGGAUAUGUUUCUCAUUUAUGGAGGUGACAAAGAGCUCGUCGUAAAUGGUUACGUUGAUGCAAGCUUUGACACUGAUCCGGAUGACUCUAAGUCACAAACCGGAUACGUAUUUAUAUUGAACGGUGGAGCUGUCAGUUGGUGCAGUUCUAAGCAAAGCGUCGUGGCGGGAUCUACAUGUGAAGCGGAGUACAUAGCUUCUUCGGAAGCAGCAAAUGAAGGAGUUUGGAUGAAGGAGUUCAUAUCCAAUCUAGGUGUCAUACCUAGUGCAUCGGGUCCAAUGAAAAUCUUUUGUGACAAUACUGGUGCAAUUGCCUUGGCAAAGGAAUCCAGAUUUCACAAGAGAACCAAGCACAUCAAGAGACGCUUCAAUUCCAUCCGCGAUCAAGUCAAGGAGGGAGACAUAGAGAUUUGCAAGAUACAUAAGGAUCUGAAUGUUGCAGACCCGUUGACUAAGCCUCUCUCAUGAGCAAAACAUGAUCAGCACCAAGACUCCAUGGGUGUUAGAAUCAUUACUGUGUAAUCUAGAUUAUUGACUCUAGUGCAAGUGGGAGACUGAAGGAAAUAUGCCCUAGAGGCAAUAAUAAAGUUGUUAUUUAUAUUUCCUUAUAUCACGAUAAAUGUUUAUUAUUCAUGCUAGAAUUGUAUUAACCGGAAACUUAGUACAUGUGUGAAUACAUAGACAAAUAGAGUGUCACUAGUAUGCCUCUACUUGACUAGCUCGUUGAAUCAAAGAUGGUUAUGUUUCCUAAAAAUAGACAUGAGUUGUCAUUUGAUUAACGGGAUCACAUCAUUAGAGAAUGAUGUGAUUGAAUUGACCCAUUCCAUUAGCUUAGCAUUUGAUCGUUUAGUAUAUUGCUAUUGCUUUCUUCAUAACUUGUACAUGUUCCUAUGACUAUGAGAUUAUGCAACUCCCGGAUACCGGAGGAACACUUUUUGUGCUACCAAACGUCACAACGUAACUGGGUGAUUAUAAAGGUGCUCUACAGGUGUCUCCGAUGGUACUUGUUGAGUUGGCAUAGAUCAAGAUUAGGAUUUGUCACUCCGAUUGUCGAAGAGGUAUCUCUGGGCCCUCUCGGUAAUGCACAUCACUAUAAGCCAUGCAAGCAAUGUAACUAAUGAUUUAGUUGCGGGAUGAUGCAUUACGGAAUGAGUAAAGAGACUUGCCGGUAACGAGAUUGAACUAGGUAUUGAGAUACCGGCGAUCGAAUCUCGGGCAAGUAACAUACCGUUGACAAAGGGAACAACGUAUGUUGUUAUGCGGUUUGACCGAUAAAGAUCUUCGUAGAAUAUGUAGGAACCAAUAUGAGCAUCCAGGUUCCGCUAUUGGUUAUUGACCAGAGAUGAGUCUCGGUCAUGUCAUAGUUCUCGAACCCGUAGGGUCCGCACGCUUAAAAUUCGGUGACGAUCGGUAUUAUGAGUUUAUGUGUUUUUAUGUACCGAAGGUAGUUCAGAGUCCCGGAUAUGAUCACGGACAUGACGAGGAGUCUCGAAAUGGUCGAGACAUAAAGAUCGAUAUAUUGGACGACUAGAUUUGGACAUCGGAAUGGUUCCGGGUGAGACCGGGAAUAUACCGGAGUACCGGGAGGUUACCGGAACCCCCCGGGAGGUAUAUGGGCCUUAUUGGGCCAUAGAGGGAGAGAGGAGAAGGGUGCAAAGGAGGGGGCGCCCCCCCAAGCCCAAUCCGAAUUGGGAGGGGGGCCGGCCCACCUUUCCUGUUAGGGAACGUAGUAAUUUCAAAAAUUUCCUACGCACACGCAAGACCAUGGUGAUGUAUAGCAACGAGAGGGGAGAGUGUUGUCCACGUACCCUCGUAGACCGAAAGCGGAAGCGUUGACACAACGCGGUUGAUGUAGUCGUAUGUCUUCACGAUCCGACCGAUCGAGUACCGAACGCACGGCACCUCCAAGUUCAGCACACGUUCAGCUCGAUGACGUCCCUCGAACUCCGAUCCAGCCGAGUGUUGAGGGAGAGUUUCGUCAGCACGACGGCGUGGUGACGAUGAUUAUGUUCUACCGACGCAGGGCUUCGCCUAAGCACCGCUACGAUAUUAUCGAGGUGUAAUAUGGUGGAGGGGGCACCACACACGGCUAAGAGAUCAAUAGAUCAAUUGUUGUGUCUAUGGGGUGCCCCCUGCCCUCGUAUAUAAAGGAGCAAGGGGGGAGGCCGUCGGCCUAAGAGGAGGGCGCGCCAAGGGGGGAGUCCUACUCCCACCGGGAGUAGGACUCCUCCUUUCCUUGUUGGAGUAGGAGAAGGGAAGGGAGAAGGAGAAGGAAGGAAGGGGGCGCCCCCUCCCUAGUCCAAUUCGGACUAGUCCAUGGGGAGGGGUGCGGCCACCCUUUGGGGCCUUUCUCACCUUUCCCGUAUGGCCCAUUAAGGCCCAAUACGAAUUCCCGUAACUCUCCGGUACUACGAAAAAUACCCGAAUCACUCGGAACCUUUCCGAUGUCUGAAUAUAGUCGUCCAAUAUAUCGAUCUUUACGUCUCGACCAUUUCGAGACUCCUCGUCAUGUCCCCGAUCUCAUCCGGGACUCCGAACUCCUUCAGUACAUCAAAACUCAUAAACUCAUAAUAAAAUUGUCAUCGUAACGUUAAGCGUGCGGACCCUACGGGUUCGAGAACUAUGUAGACAUGACCGAGACACGUCUCCGGUCAAUAACCAAUAGCGGGACCUGGAUGCCCAUAGUGGCUCCCACAUAUUCUACAAAGAUCUUUAUCGGUCAAACCGCAUAACAACAUACGUUGUUCCCUUUGUCAUCGGUAUGUUACUUGCCCGAGAUUCGAUUGUCGGUAUCUUAAUACCUAGUUCAAUCUCGUUACCGGCAAGUCUCUUUACUCGUUCCGUAAUACAUCAUCUCUCAACAAACUCAUUAGUUGCAAUUCUUGCAAGGCUUAAGUGAUGUGCAUUACCGAGAGGGCCCAGAGAUACCUCUCCGACAAUCGGAGUGACAAAUCCUAAUCUCGAAAUACGCCAACCCAACAAGUACCUUCGGAGACACCUGUAGAACACCUUUAUAAUCACCCAGUUACGUUGUGACGUUUGGUAGCACACAAAGUGUUCCUCCGGUAAACGGGAGUUGCAUAAUCUCAUAGUCAUAGGAACAUGCAUAAGUCAUGAAGAAAGCAAUAGCAACAUACUAAACGAUCGAGUGCUAAGCUAACGGAAUGGGUCAAGUCAAUCACAUCAUUCUCCUAAUGAUGUGAUCCCGUUAAUCAAAUGACAACUCAUGUCUAUGGCUAGGAAACAUAACCAGCUUUGACCAACGAGCUAGUCAAGUAGAGGCAUACUAGUGACACUCUGUUUGUCUAUGUAUUCACACAUGUAUCAAGUUUCCGGUUAAUACAAUUCUAGCAUGAAUAAUAAACAUUUAUCAUGAUAUAAGGAAAUAAAUAAUAACUUUAUUAUUGCCUCUAGGGCAUAUUUCCUUCAGUCUCCCACAUGCACUAGAGUCAAUAAUCUAGUUCACAUCGCUAUGUGAUUUAACAUCAAUAGUUCACAUCACCAUGUGAUUAACACCCAUAGUUCACAUCGUCAUGUGACCAACACCCAAAGGGUUUACUAGUCAGUAAUCUAGUUCACAUCGCUGUGUGAUUAACACCCAAAGAGUACUAAGGUGUGAUCAUGUUUUGUUUGUGAGAUAAUUUUAGUCAAUGGGUCUGUCACAUUCAGAUCUGUAAGUAUUUUGCAAAUUUCUAUGUCUACAAUGCUCUGCACGGAGCUACUCUAGCUAAUUGCUCCCACUUUCAAUAUGUAUCUAGACCGAGACUUAGAGUCAUCUAGAUUAGUGUCAAAACUUGCAUCGACGUAAUCCUUUACGAUGAACCUUUUGUCACUUCCAUAAUCGAGAAACAUAUCCUUAUUCCACUAAGGAUAAUUUUGACCGCUGUCCAGUGAUCUACUCCUAGAUCAUUAUUGUACUCCCUUGCCAAAAUUAGUGUAGGGUAUACAAUAGAUCUGGUACACAGCAUGGCAUACUUUAUAGAACCUAUGGCCGAGGCAUAGGGAAUGACUUUCAUUCUUUUUCUAUCUUCUGCCGUGGUCGGGCUUUGAGUCUUACUCAAUUCCACACCUUGUAACACGGGCAAGAAACUCUUUCUUUGCUUGAUCCAUUUUGAACUUCUUCAAAACUUUGUCAAGUUAUGUGCUUUGUGAAAGUCCAAUUAAGCGUCUUGAUCUAUCUCUAUAGAUCUUGAUGCCCAAUAUAUACGCAGCUUCACCGAGGUCUUUCAUUGAAAAACUCUUAUUCAAGUAUCCCUUUAUGCUAUCCAGAAAUUCUAUAUCAUUUCCAAUCAGCAGUAUGUCAUCCACAUAUAAUAUCAGAAAUGCUACAGAGCUCCCACUCACUUUCUUGUAAAUACAGGCUUCUCCAAAAGUCUGUACAAAACCAAAUGCUUUGAUCACACUAUCAAAGCAUUUAUUCCAACUCCGAGAGGCUUGCACCAGUCCAUUAAUGGAUCGCUGGAGCUUGCACACUUUGUUAGCUCCCUUUGGAUCGACAAAACCUUCCGGUUGCAUCAUAUACAAUUCUUCUUCCAGAAAUCCAUUCAGGAAUGCAGUUUUGACAUCCAUUUGCCAAAUUUCAUAAUCAUAAAAUGCGGCAAUUGCUAACAUGAUUCGGACAGACUUAAGCAUCGCUACGGGUGAGAAGGUCUCAUCGUAGUCAAUCCCUUGAACUUGUCGAAAACCUUUCGCAACAAGUCGAGCUUUAUAGACAGUAACAUUACCGUCAGCGUCAGUCUUCUUCUUGAAGAUCCAUUUAUUUUCAAUGGCUUGCCGAUCAUCGGGCAAGUCAACCAAAGUCCAUACUUUGUUCUCAUACAUGGAUCCCAUCUCGGAUUUCAUGGCCUCAAGCCAUUUUGCGGAAUCUGGGCUCACCAUCGCUUCUUCAUAGUUUGUAGGUUCGUCAUGGUCUAGUAACAUAACCUCCAGAACAGGAUUACUGUACCACUCUGGUGCGGAUCUUACUCUGGUUGACCUACGAGGUUCAGUAAUAACUUGAUCUGAAGUUUCAUGAUCAUCAUCAUUAACUUCCUCACUAAUUGGUGUAGGCGUCGCAGAAACCGGUUCCUGUGAUGAACUACUUUCCAAUAAGGGAGCAGGUACAGUUACCUUAUCAAGUUCUACCUUCCUUCCACUCACUUCUUUCGAGAGAAACUCCUUCUCCAGAAAAAUUCCGAAUUUAGCAACAAAAGUUUUUCCUUCGGAUCUGUGAUAGAAGGUGUACCCAACAGUUUCCUUUGGGUAUCCUAUGAAGACAUAUUUCUCCGAUUUGGUUUCGAGCUUAUCAGGUUGAAGUUUUUUCACGUAAGCAUCGCAGCCCCAAACUUUAAGAAACAACAACUUUGGUUUCUUGCCAAACCACAGUUCAUAAGAUGUUUUCUCAACGGAUUUAGAUGGUACCCUAUUUAACGUGAAUGCAGCUGUCUCUAAUGCAUAACCCCAAAACGAUAUUGGUAAAUCGGUAAGAAACAUCAUAGAUUGCACUAUAUCCAAUAAAGUACGGUUAUGACGUUCAGACACACCAUUAUGCUGUGGUGUUCCAGGUGGCACGAAUUUGUGAAACUAUUCCACAUUGUUUUAAUUGAAGACCAAACUCGUAACUCAAAUAUUUGUCUCCGCGAUCAUAUCGUAGAAACCUUAUUUUCUUGUCACGAUGAUUUUCCACUUCACUCUGAAAUUCUUUGAACUUUUCAAAUGUUUCAGACUUAUGUUUCAUUAAGUAGAUAUACCCAUAUCUGCUCAAAUCAUCUGUGAAGGUGAGAAAAUAACGAUAUCCGCCACGAGCCUCAAUAUUCAUUGGACCACAUACAUCUGUAUGUAUGAUUUCCAACAAAUCUGUUGCUCUCUCCAUAGUUUCGGAGAACGGUGUUUUCGUCAUCUUGCCCAUGAGACACGGUUCGCAAGUACCAAGUGAUUCAUAAUCAAGUGGUUCCAAAAGCUCAUCAGCAUGGAGUUUCUUCAUGCGCUUUACACCAAUAUGACCUAAACGGCAGUGCCACAAAUAAGUUGCACUAUCAUUAUUAACUUUGCAUCUUUUGACUUCAAUAUUAUGAAUAUGUGUAUCACUACGAUCGAGAUCCAACGAACCAUUUUCAUUGGGUGUGUAACCAUAUAAGGUUUUAUUCAUGUAAACAGAACAACAAUUAUUCUCUAACUUAAAUGAAUAACCGUAUUGCAAUAAACAUGAUCAAAUCAUAUUCAUGCUCAACACAAACACCAAAUAACACUUAUUUAGGUUCAACACUAAUCCCGAAAGUAUAGGGAGUGUGCGAUGAUGAUCAUAUCAAUCUUGGAACUACUUCCAACACACAUCGUCACCUCGCCUUUUACUAGUCUCUGUUUAUUCUGCAACUCUCGUUUCGAGUUACUACUCUUAGCAACUGAACCAGUAUCAAAUGCCGAGGGGUUGCUAUAAACACUAGUAAAGUACACAUCAAUAACAUGUAUGUCCAAUAUACCUUUGUUCACUUUGCCAUCCUUCUUAUCCACCAAAUACUUGGGGUAGUUCCGCUUCCAGUGACCAGUCCCUUUGCAGUAGAAGCACUUAGUCUCAGGCUUAGGACUAGACUUAGGCUUCUUCACUUGAGCAGCAACUUGCUUGUCGUUCUUCUUGAAGUUCCCCUUCUAUCCCUUUGCCAUUUUCUUGAAACUAGUGGUCUUGUUAACAAUCAACACUUGAUGCUCUUUCUUGAUUUCUACCUUUGUCGAUUUCAGCAUCGCGAAGAGCUCGGGAAUUACUUUCGUCAUCCCUUGCAUACUAUAGUUCAUCACGAAGUUCUACUAACUUGGUGAUGGUGACUAGAGAAUUCUGUCAAUCACUAUCUUAUCUGGAAGAUUAACUCCCACUUGAUUCAAGCGAUUGUAGUACCCAGACAAUCUGAGCACAUGCUCACUACUUGAGCUAUUCUCCUCCAUCUUUUAGCUAUAGAACUUGUUGGAGACUUCAUAUCUCUCAACUCGGGUAUUUGCUUGAAAUAUUAACUUCAACUCCUGGAACAUCUCAUAUGGUCCAUGACGUUCAAAACGUCUUUGAAGUCCCGAUUCUAAGCCUUUAAGCAUGGUGCACUAAACUAUCAAGUAGUCAUCAUAUUGAGCUCGCCAAACGUUCAUAACGUCUGCAUUUGCUCCUGCAAUAGGUCUGUCACCUAGCGGUGCAUCAAGGACAUAAUUCUUCUGUGCAGCAAUGAGGAUAAUCCUCAGAUCACGGAUCCAAUCCGCAUCUUUGCUACUAACAUCUUUCAACAUAAUUUUUCUCUAGGAACAUAUCAAAAAUAAACACAGGGAAGCAACAACGCGAGCCAUUGAUCUACAAAAUAAUUUGCAAAAUACUAUCAGGACUAAGUUCAUGAUAAAUUUAAGUUCAAUUAAUCAUAUUACAUAAGAACUCCCACUUAGAUAGACAUCCCUCUAAUCCUCUAAGUGAUCACGUGAUCCAUAUCAACUAAACCAUGUCCGAUCAUCACGUGAGAUGGAGUAGUUUCAACGGUGAACAUCACUAUGUUGAUCAUAUCUACUAUAUGAUUCACGCUCGACCUUUCGGUCUCCAUGUUCCGAGGCCAUAUCUGUUAUAUGCUAGGCUCGUCAAGUUUAACUUGAGUAUUCCGCGUGUGCAACUAUUUUGCACCCGUUGUAUUUGAACGUAGAGCCUAUCACACCCGAUCAUCACAUGGUGUCUCAGCACGAAGAACUUUCGCAACGGUGCAUACUCAGGGAGAACACUUAUACUUUGAUAAUUUAGUGAGGGAUGAUCUUAUAAUGCUAUUGUCAAUCAAAGCAAGAUAAGAUGCAUAAAAGAUUAACAUCACAUGCAAUCAAUAUAAGUGAUAUGAUAUAGCCAUCAUCAUCUUGUGCUUGUGAUCUCCAUCUCCGAAGCACCGUCAUGAUCACCAUCGUCACCGGCGCGACACCUUGUUCUCCAUCGUAGCAUCAUUGUCGUCUCGCCAAUCUUAUGCUUCUACGACUAUCGCUACCGCUUAGUGAUAAAGUAAAGCAUUACAGGGCGAUUGCAUUGCAUACAAUAAAGCGACAACCAUAUGGCUCCUGCCAGUUGCCGAUAACUCGGUUACAAAACAUGAUCAUCUCAUACAAUAAAUUUAGCAUCAUGCUUUGACCAUAUCACAUCACAACAUGCCCUGCAAAAACAAGUUAGACGUCCUCUACUUUGUUGUUGCAAGUUUUACGUGGCUGCUACGGGCUUAGCAAGAACCGUUCUUACCUACGCAUCAAAACCACAACGAUAGUUUGUCAAGUUUGUGUUGUUUUAACCUUCGCAAGGACCGGGCGUAGCCACACUUGGUUCAACUAAAGUUGGAGAAACUGACACCCGUCAGCCACCUCUGUGCAAAGCACGUCGGAAGAACCAGUCUCGCGUAAGCGUACGCGUAAUGUCGGUCCGGGCCGCUUCAUCCAACAAUACCGACGAACCAAAGUAUGACAUGCUGGUAAGCAGUAUGACUUAUAUCGCCCACAACUCAGUUGUGUUCUACUCGUGCAUAUGACAUCUACGCAUAAAACCAGGCUCUGAUACCACUGUUAGGGAACGUAGUAAUUUCAAAAAUUUCCAACGCACACGCAAGAUCAUGGUGAUGCAUAGCAACGAGAGGGGAGAGUGUUGUCCACGUACCCUCGUAGACCGAAAGCGGAAGCGUUAACACAAUGCGAUUGAUGUAGUCGUACGUCUUCACGAUCCGACCGAUCAAGUACCGAACGCACGGCACCUCCGAGUUCAGCACAUGUUCAGCUCGAUGACGUCCCUCAAACUCCGAUCCAGCCGAGUGUUGAGGGAGAGUUUCGUCAGCAUGACGGCAUGGUGACGAUGAUGAUGUUCUACCGACGCAGGGCUUCGCCUAAGCACCGCUACGAUAUUAUCGAGGUGUAAUAUGGUGGAGGGGGGCACCGCACACGGCUAAGAGAUCAAUAGAUCAAUUGUUGUGUCUAUGGGGUGCCCCCUGCCCCCGUAUAUCAAGGAGCAAGGGGGGAGGCGGCCGGCCUAGGAGGAGGGCGCGCCAAGGGGGGAGUCCUACUCCCACCGGGAGUAGGACUCCUCCUUUCCUUGUUGGAGUAGGAGAAGGGAAGGGAGAAGGAGAAGGAAGGAAGGGGGCACCCCCCUCCCUAGUCCAAUUCGGACUAGUCCAUGGGGAGGGGUGCGGCCACCCUUUGGGGCCUUUCUCUCCUUUCCCGUAUGGCCCAUUAAGGCCCAAUACGAAUUCCCGUAACUCUCCAGUACUCCGAAAAAUACCCGAAUCACUCGGAAACUUUCCGAUGACUGAAUAUAGUCGUCCAAUAUAUCGAUCUUUACGUCUCGACCAUUUCGAGACUCCUCGUCAUGUCCCCGAUCUCAUCCGAGACUCCGAACUCCUUCGGUACAUCAAAACUCAUAAACUCAUAAUAAAAUUGUCAUCGUAACGUUAAGCGUGCGGACCCUACGGGUUCGAGAACUAUGUAGACAUGACCGAGACACGUCUCCGGUGAAUAACCAAUAGCGGGACCUGGAUGCCCAUAUUGGCUCCCACAUAUUCUACGAAGAUCUUUAUCGGUCAAACCGCAUAACAACAUACGUUGUUCCCUUUGUCAUCGGUAUGUUACUUGCCCGAGAUUCGAUCGUCGGUAUCUUAAUACCUAGUUCAAUCUCGUUACCGGCAAGUCUCUUUACACGUUCCGUAAUACAUCAUCUCGCAACAAACUCAUUAGUUGCAAUUCUUGCAAGGCUUAAGUGAUGUGCAUUACCGAGAGGGCCCAGAGAUACCUCUCCGACAAUCGGAGUGACAAAUCCUAAUCUCGAAAUACGCCAACCCAACAAGUACCUUCGGAGACACCUGUAGAGCACCUUUAUAAUCACCCAGUUACGUUGUGACGUUUGGUAGCACACAAAGUGUUCCUUCGGUAAACGGGAGUUGCAUAAUCUCAUAGUCACAGGAACAUGUAAAGUCAUGAAGAAAGCAAUAGCAACAUACUAAACGAUCGAGUGCUAAGCUAACGGAAUGGGUCAAGUCAAUCACAUCAUUCUCCUAAUGAUGUGAUCCCGUUAAUCAAAUGACAACUCAUGUCUAUGGCUAGGAAACAUAACCAUCUUUGAUCAACGAGCUAGUCAAGUAGAGGCAUACUAGUGACACUCUGUUUGUCUAUGUAUUCACACAUGUAUCAAGUUUCCGGUUAAUACAAUUCUAGCAUGAAUAAUAAACAUUUAUCAUGAUAUAAGGAAAUAAAUAAUAACUUUAUUAUUGCCUCCAGGGCAUAUUUCCUUCAUUUCCUUCCUCCUUCCUCCCCCUUCCUUCUCUCCUAAUCCAACUAGGGACGGGGGGGGGAUCCUACUCCCGGUGGGAGUAGGACUCCCCUUGGGGCGCGCCUAGGAGGCCGGCCUCCUCCCCCUCCUCCACUCCUUUAUAUACGGGGGAGGGGGCACCCCAUAGACACACAAGUUGAUCAUUGAUCUCUUAGCCGUGUGCGGUGCCCCCUUCCACCAUAAUCCACCUCGGUCAUAUCAUCGUAGUGCUUAGGCGAAGCCCUGCGCCGGUAACUUCAUCAUCACCUUCAUCACGCCGUCGUGCUGACGAAGCUCUUCCCCGAAGCUCUACUGGAUCAUGAGUUCGUGGGACGUCACCGAGCUGAACGUGUGCAGAUCGCGGAGGUGUCGUGCGUUCGGUACUAGGAUCGGUCGAUCAUGAAGACAUACGACUACAUUAACCGCGUUGUCAUAACGCUUCCGCUUUCGGUCUACGAGGGUAAGUGGACAACACUCUCCCCUCUUGUUGCUAUACAUCACCAUGAUCUUGCGUGUGCAUAGGAAUUUUUUUGAAAUUACUACGUUCCACAACAGUGGCAUCCGAGCCAGGUUUAUGCAUAGAUGUUAUAUGCACGAGUAGAACACAAGUGAGUUGUGGGCGAUACUAGUCAUACUGCUUACCAGCAUGUCAUACUUUGAUUCGGCGGUAUUGUUGGAUGAAGCGGCCCGGACCGACAUUACGCGUACGCUUACGCGAGACUGGUUCUACCGACGUGCUUCACACACAGGUGGCUGGCGGGUGUCAGUUUCUCCAACUUUAGUUUAAUCGAGUGUGGCUACGCCCGGUCCUUGUUGAAGGUUAAAACAGCACAUACUUGAUGAAAUAUCAUUGUGGUUUUGAUGCGUAGGUAAGAACGGUUCUUACUCGGCCCGUAGCAGCCACGUAAAACUUGCAACAACAAAGUAGAGGACGUCUAACUUGUUUUUGCAUGGCAUGUUGUGAUGUGAUAUGGUCAAGACAUGAUGCUAAAUUUUAUUGUAUGAGAUGAUCAUGUUUUGUAACAAAGUUAUCGGCAACUGGCAGGAGCCAUAUGGUUGUCGCUUUAUUGUAUGAAAUGCAAUCGCCAUGUAAUUGCUUUACUUUAUCACUAAGCGGUAGCGAUAGUCGUAGAAGCAAUAGUUGGCGAGACGGCAACGAUGCUACGAUGGAGAUCAAGGUGUCGCGCCGGUGACGAUGGUGAUCAUAACGGUGCUUUGGAGAUGGAGAUGAAAGGCACAAAAUGAUGAUGGCCAUAUCAUAUCACUUAUAUUGAUUGCAUGUGAUGUUUAUCCUUUAUGCAUCUUAUUUUGCUUAGAUCGGCGGUAGCAUUAUAAGAUGAUCUCUCACUAAAUUUCAAGGUAUAAGUGUUCUCCCUAAGUAUGCACCGUUGCGAAAGUUCGUCGUGCCGAGACACCACGUGAUGAUUGGGUGUGAUAAGCUCUACGUUCACAUACAACGGGUGCAAGCCGGUUUUGCACACACAGAAUACUCGGGUUAAACUUGACAAGCCUAGCAUAUGCAGAUAUGGCCUCGGAACACUGAGACCGAAAGGUCGAGCGUGAAUCAUAUAGUAGAUAUGAUCAACAUAGUGAUGUUCACCAUUGAAAACUACCCCAUCUCACAUGAUGAUCGGACAUGGUUUAGUUGAUAUGGAUCACGUGAUCACUUAGAUGAUUAGAGGGAUGUCUAUCUAAGUGGGAGUUCUUAAGUAAUUUGAUUAAUUGAACUUUAAUUUAUCAUGAACUUAGUACCUGAUAGUAUUUUGCAUGUCUAUGUUGUUGUAGAUAGAUGGCCCGUGCUGUUGUUCCGUUGAAUUUUAAUGCGUUCCUAGAGAAAGCUAAGUUGAAAGAUGAUGGUAGAAACUACACGGACUGGGUCCAUAACUUGAGGAUUAUCCUCAUUACUGCACAGAAGAAUUACGUCCUGGAAGCACCGCUAGGUGCCAAACCCGCUGCAGGAGCAACGCCAGAUGUUAUGAACGUCUCACGGAGCAAAGCUGAUGACUACUCGAUAGUUCAGUGUGCCAUGCUUUACGGCUUAGAACCGGGACUUCAACAAUGUUUUGAACGUCAUGGAGCAUAUGAGAUGUUCCAGGAGUUGAAGUUAAUGUUUCAAGCAAAUGCCCGGAUUGAGAGAUAUGAAGUCUCCAAUAAGUUCUACAACUGCAAGAUGGAGGAGAAUACUUCUGUCAGUGAGCAUAUACUCAAAAUGUCUGGGUAUAACAAUCACUUGAUUCAAUUGGGAGUUAAUCUUCCGGAUGAUAGUGUCAUUGACAUAAUUCUUCAAUCACUGCCACCAAGCUACAAGAGCUUCGUGAUGAACUAUAACAAGCAAGGGAUGGACAAGACAAUUCCUGAGCUCUUCGGGAUGCUAAAGGAUGUGGAGGUAGAAAUCAAGAAGGAGCAUCAAGUGUUGAUGGUCAACAAGACCACCAGUUUCAGGAAAAAGGGUAAAGGGAAGAAGGGGAACUUCAAGAAGAACGACAAGCAAGUUGCUGCUCAAGUGAAGAAACCCAAGUCUGGACCUAAGCCUGAGACUGAGUGCUUCUACUGCAAAGGGACUGGUCACUGGAAGCAGAACUGCCCCAAGCAUUUUGCGGAUAAGAAGGAUGGCAAGGUGAACAAAGGUUUAUGUGAUAUACAUGUUAUUUAUGUGUACCUUACUAAUGCUCGUAGUACCACCUGGGUAUUUGAUACUGGUUCUGUUGCUAAUAUUUGCAACUCGAAACAGGGACUACGGAUUAAGCGAAGAUUGGCUAAGGACGAGGUGACGAUGCGUGUGGGAAAUGGUUCCAAAUUCGAUGUGAUCGCGGUCGGCACGCUACCUCUACAUCGACCUUCGGGAUUAGUUUUAGACCUGAAUAAUUGUUAUUUGGUGCCAGCGUUGAGCAUUAACAUUAUAUCUUGAUCUUGUUUGAUGCGAGACGGUUAUUCAUUUAAAUCAGAGAAUAAUGGUUGUUCUAUUUAUAUGAGUACUAUCUUUUAUGGUCAUGCACCCUUGAAGAGUGGUCUAUUUUUAUUGAAUCUCGAUAGUAGUGAUACACAUAUUCAUAAUAUUGAAGCCAAAAGAUGCAGAGUUGAUAAUGAUAGUGAAACUUUUUGUGGCACUGCCGUUUAGGUCAUAUUGGUGUAAAGCGCAUGAAGAAACUCCAUUCUGAUGGACUUUUGGAAUCACUUGAUUAUGAAUCACUUGGUACUUGCGAACCAUGCCUCGUGGGCAAGAUGACUAAAACUCCGUUCUCUGGAACAAUGGAGCGAUCAACAGAUUUAUUGGAAAUCAUAAAUACUGAUGUAUGUGGUCCGAUGAAUGUUGAGGCUCGCGGCGGGUAUCGUUAUUUUCUCACCUUCACAGAUGAUUUGAGCAGAUAUGGGUAUAUCUACUUAAUGAAACAUAAGUCUGAAACGUUUGAAAAGUUCAAAGAAUUUCAGAGUGAAGUGGAAAAUCAUCGUAACAAGAAAAUAAAGUUUCUACGAUCUGAUCAUGGAGGAGAAUAUUUGUGUUACGAGUUUGGUCUUCAUUUGAAACAAUGCGCAAUAGUUUCACAACUCACGCCACCCGGAACACCACAGCGUAAUGGUGUGUCCGAACGUCGUAAUCGUACUUUACUAGAUAUGGUGCGAUCGAUGAUGUCGCUUACUGAUUUACCGCUAUCAUUUUGGGGUUAUGCUUUAGAGACGGCUGCAUUCACAUUAAAUAGGGCACCAUCUAAAUCCGUUGAGACGACACCUUAUGAACUAUGGUUUGGCAAGAAACCAAAGUUGUCGUUUCUUAAAGUUUGGGGAUGCGAUGCUUAUGUGAAAAAACUUCAACCUGAUAAGCUCGAACCCAAAUCGGAGAAAUGUGUCUUCAUAGGAUACCCAAAGGAGACAGUUGGGUACACCUUCUAUCACAGAUCCGAAGGCAAGACAUUCGUUGCUAAGAAUGGAUCCUUUCUAGAGAAGGAGUUUCUCUCGAAAGAAGUGAGUGGGAGGAAAGUAGAACUUGAUGAGGUAACUGUACCUGCUCCCUUAUUGGAAAGUAGUUCAUCACAGAAAUCUGUUCCUGUGACUCCUACACCAAUUAGUGAGGAAGCUAAUGAUGAUGAUCAUGUAACUUCAGAUCAAGUUACUACUGAACCUCGUAGGUCAACCAGAGUAAGAUCCGCACCAGAGUUGUACGGUAAUCCUGUUCUGGAGGUCAUGUUACUUGACCAUGAUGAGCCUACGAACUAUGAGGAAGCGAUGAUGAGCCCAGAUUCGGCAAAAUGGCUUGAGGUCAUGAAAUCUGAGAUGGGAUCCAUGUAUGAGAACAAAGUGUGGACUUUGGUUGACUUGCCCGAUGAUCGGCAAGCCAUCGAGAAUAAAUGGAUCUUCAAGAAGAAGACUCACGCUGACGGUAAUGUUACUGUCUACAAAGCUCGACUUGCUGCGAAAGGUUUUCGACAAGUUCAAGUAGUUGACUAUGAUGAGACCUUCUCACCCGUAGCGAUGCUUAAGUCCAUCCGAAUCAUGUUAGCAAUUGCCGCAUUUUAUGAUUAUGAAAUUUGGCAAAUGGAUGUAAAGACUGCAUUCCUAAAUGGAUUUCUGGAAGAAGAGUUGUAUAUGAUGCAACCUGAAGGUUUUAUCGAUCCAAAGGAUGCUAACAAAGUGUGCAAGCUCCAGCGAUCCAUUUGUGGACUGGUGCAGGCAUCUCGGAGUUGAAAUAAACGUUUUGAUAGUGUGACCAAAGCAUAUGGUUUUAUACAGACUUUUGGAGAAGCCUGUAUUUACAAGAAAGUGAGUGGGAGCUCUGUAGCAUUUCUAAUAUUAUAUGUGGAUGACAUAUUGUUGAUUGGAAAUGAUAUAGAAUUUCUGGAUAGCAUAAAAGGAUACUGGAAUAAGAGAUUUUCAAUGAAAGACCUCGGUGAAGCUGCUUAUAUAUUGGGCAUCAAGAUCUAUAGAGAUAGGUCGAGACGCUUAAUUGGACUUUCACAAAGCACAUACCUUGAUAAAGUUUUGAGGAAGUUCAAAAUGGAUCAAGCAAAGAAAGGGUUCUUGCCUGUGUUACAAGGUGUGAAAUUGAGUCAGACUCAAUGCCCGACCACUGCAGAAGAUAGAGAGAAAAUGAAAGGUGUUCCCUAUGCUUCAGCCAUAGGCUCUAUCAUGUAUGCAAUGCUGUGUACCAGACCUGAUGUGUGCCUUGCUAUUAGUUUAGCAGGGAGGUACCAAAGUAAUCCAGGAGUGGAUCACUAGACAUCGGUCAAGAACAUCCUGAAAUACCUGAAAAGGACUAAGGAUAUGUUUCUCGUUCAUGGAGGUGACAAAGAGCUCACCGUAAAUGGUUACGUUGAUGCAAGCUUUGUCACUGAUCCGGAUGACUCUAAGUCACAAAUCGGAUACCGAUUUAUAUUGAACGGUAGAGCUGUCAGUUGGUGCAGUUCGAAGCAAAGCGUCGUGGCGGGAUCUACAUGUGAAGCAGAGUACAUAGCUGCUUCGGAAGCAGCAAAUGAAGGAGUCUAGAUGAAGGAGUUCAUAUCCGAUCUAGGUGUCAUACCUAUUGCAUCGGGUCCAAUGAAAAUCUUUUGUGACAAUACUGGUGCAAUUGCCUUGGCAAAGGAAUUCAGAUUUCACAAGAGAACCAAGCACAUCAAGAGACGCUUCAAUUCCAUCCGCGAUCAAGUCAAGGAGGGAGACAUAGAGAUUUGCAAGAUACAUGCGGAUCUGAAUGUUGCAGACCGUUGACUAAGCCUCUCUCACGAGCAAAACAUGAUCGGCGCCAAUACUCCAUGGGUGUUAGAAUCAUUACUGUGUAAUCUAGAUUAUUAACUCUAGUGCAAGUGGGAGACUGAAGGAAAUAUGCCCUAGAGGCAAUAAUAAAGUUGUUAUUUAUAUUUCCUUAUAUCAUGAUAAAUGUUCAUUAUUCAUGCUAGAAUUGUAUUAACCGGAAACUUAGUACAUGUGUGAAUACAUAGACAAAUAGAGUGUCACUAGUAUGCCUCUACUUGACUAGCUCGUUGAAUCAAAGAUGGUUAUGUUUCCUAACCAUAGACAUGAGUUGUCAUUUGAUUAACGGGAUCACAUCAUUAGAGAAUGAUGUGAUUGACUUGACCCAUUCCGUUAGCUUAGCAUUUGAUCGUUUAGUAUAUUGCUAUUGCUUUCUUCAUGACUUAUACAUGUUCCUAUGACUAUGAGAUUAUGCAACUCCCGAAUACCGGAGGAACACUUUCUGUGCUACCAAACGUCACAACGUAACUGGGUGAUUAUAAAGGUGCUCUACAGGUGUCUCUGAAGGUACUUUUUGAGUUGGCAUAGAUCGAGAUUAGGAUUUGUCACUCUGAUUGUCGAAGAGGUAUCUCUGGGCCCUCUCGGUAAUGCACAUCACUAUAAGCCUUGCAAGCAAUGUAAUUAAUGAGUUAGUUGCGGGAUGACGCAUUACGGGACGAGUAAAGAGACUUGCCGGUAACGAGAUUGAACUAGGUAUUGAGAUACCGACGAUCGGAUCUCGGGCAAGUAACAUACCGUUGACAAAGGGAACAACGUAUGUUGUUAUGCGGUUUGACCGAUAAAGAUCUUCAUAGAAUAUGUAGGAACCAAUAUGAGCAUCCAGGUUCCGCUAUUGGUUAUUGACUGGAGAUGAGUCUCGGUCAUGUCUACAUAGUUCUCGAACCCAUAGGGUCCGCACGCUUAAAGUUCGGUGACGAUCAGUAUUAUGAGUUUAUGUGUUUUGAUGUACCGAAGGUAGUUUGGAGUCCCGGAUAAGAUCACGGACAUGACGAGGAGUCUUGAUAUGGUCGAGACAUAAAUAUCGAUAUAUUGGACGACUAUAUUUGUGUUGGGGAACGUAGUAAUUUCAAAAAAUUUCCUACGCAUACGCAAGAUCAUGGUGAUGCAUAGCAACGAGAGGGGAGAGUGUUGUCCACGUACCCUCGUAGACCGACAGCGGAAGCGUUAUUACAACGCGGUUGAUGUAGUCGAACGUCUUCUCGAUCCGAUCGAUCAAGUACCGAACGUACGGCACCUCCGAAGUUCUACACACGUUCAGCUCGAUGACGUCCCUCGAACUCCGAUCCAGCCGAGUGUUGAGGGAGAGUUUCGUCAGCACGACGGCGUGGUGACGAUGAUGAUGUUCCACCGACGCAGGGCUUCGCCUAAGCUUCGCGACGGUAUUAUCGAGGUGUAAUCUGGUGGAGGGGGGCACCGCACACGGCUAAAAUAUCGUAUAUCAAGUGUGUUCUUAGGUGCCCCCCUGCCCCCGUAUAUAAAGGAGCAAGGGGGAGGCCGGCUGCCUAUGGGGCGCGCCAAGGAGAGGGGGGGAGUCCUCCUCCUAGUAGGAGUAGGACUCCCCUUUCCUAGUCCUACUAGGAAAAGAAGGGGGGAAGGAAAGAGAGGGAGAGGGAGAGGGAAAGGGGGCUGCGCCCCCCUCUCCUAGUCCAACUAGGACUCCUCUGGGAGGGGGCGCACCACCUCCUGGCUGCUGCCCUCUCUCUCCCCUCAAGGCCCACUAAGGCCCAAUACUUCCCCGGGGGGUUCCGGUAACCCUCCGGCACUCUGGUUUAAUCCGAAACUUCUCCGGAACACUUCCGGUGUCCGAAUAUAGUCGUCCAAUAUAUCAAUCUUUACGUCUCGACCAUUUCGAGACUCCUCGUCAUGUCCGUGAUCACAUCCGGGACUCCGAACAACCUUCGGUACAUCAAAUCACAUAAACUCAUAAUAUAACUGUCAUCGUAACUUUAAGCGUGCGGACCCUUUGGGUUCGAGAACUAUGUAGACAUGACCGAGACACCUCUCCGGUCAAUAACCAGUAGCGGGACCUGGAUGCCCAUAUUGGCUCCCACAUAUUCUACGAAGAUCUUUAUCGGUCAGACCGCAUAACAACAUACGUUGUUCCCUUUGUCAUCGGCAUGUUACUUGCCCGAGAUUCGAUCGUCGGUAUCUCGAUACCUAGUUCAAUCUCGUUACCGGCAAGUCUCUUUACUCGUUCCGUAAUACAUCAUCCCGCAACUAACUCAUUAGUCACAAUGCUUGCAAGGCUUAUAGUGAUGUGCAUUACCGAGUGGGCCCUGAGAUACCUCUCCGACAAUCGGAGUGACAAAUCAUAUUCUCGAAAUACGCCAACCCAACAAGUACCUUUGGAGACACCUGUAGAGCACCUUUAUAAUCACCCAGUUACGUUGUGACGUUUGGUAGCACAGAAAGUGUUCCUCCGGUAUUCGGGAGUUGCAUAAUCUCAUAGUCAUAGGAACAUGUAUAAGUCAUGAAGAAAGCAAUAGCAACAUACUAAACGAUCAAAUGCUAAGCUAACGUAAUGGGUCAAGUCAAUCACAUCAUUCUCUAAUGAUGUGAUCCCGUUAAUCAAAUGACAACUCAUGUCUAUGGUUAGGAAACAUAACCAUCUUUGAUUCAACGAGCUAGUCAAGUAGAGGCAUACUAGUGACACUCUAUUUGUCUAUGUAUUCACACAUGUACUAAGUUUCCGGUUAAUACAAUUCUAGCAUGAAUAAUAAACAUUUAUCAUGAUACAAGGAAAUAUAUAAUACUUUAUUAUUGCCUCUAGGGCAUAUUUCCUUUAGUCUCCCACUUGCACUAGAGUCAAUAAUCUAGAUUACAUAGUAAUGAUUCUUACACCCAUGGAGUCUUGGUGCUGAUCAUGUUUUGCUCGUGGAAGAGGCUUAGUCAACGGAUCUGCUACAUUCAGAUCCGUAUGUAUCUUGCAAAUUUCUAUGUCUCCCACCUGGACUAAAUCCCGGAUGGAAUUGAAGCGUCUUCUGAUGUGCUUGGUUCUCUUGUGAAAUCUGGAUUCCUUUGCUAAGGCAAUUGCACCAGUAUUAUCACAAAAGAUCUUCAUUGGUCCCGAUGUACUAGGUAUGACACCUAGAUCGGUUAUGAACUCCUUCAUCCAGACUCCUUCAUUCGCUGCUUCCGAAGCAGCUAUGUAUUCCGCUUCACACGUAGAUCCCGCCAUGACACUUUGCUUGGAACUGCACCAACUGACAGCUCCACCGUUCAAUGUAAAUACAUAUCCGGUUUGCGAUUUCGAAUCGUCCGGAUCAGUGUCAAAGCUUGCAUCAACGUAACCAUUUACGAUGAGCUCUUUGUCACCUCCAUAUACGAGAAACAUAUCCUUAGUCCUUUUCAGGUAUUUCAGGAUGUUCUUGACCGCUGUCCAGUGAUCCACUCCUGGAUUACUUUGGUACCUCCCUGCUAAACUUAUAGCCAGGGACACAUCAGGUCUGGUACACAGCAUUGCAUACAUGAUAGAGCCUAUGGCUGAAGCAUAGGGAACAUCUUUCAUCUUCUCUCUAUCUUCUGCAGUGGUCGGGCAUUGAGUCUUACUCAAUCUCACACCUUGUAGUACAGGCAAGAACCCUUUCUUUGCUUGAUCCAUUUUGAACUUCUUCAAAACUUUGUCAAGGUAUGUGCUUUGUGAAAGUCCAAUUAAGCGCCUUGAUCUAUCUCUAUAGAUCUUAAUGCCUAAUAUAUAUGCAGCUUUACCGAGGUCUUUCAUUGAAAAACUCUUAUUCAAGUAUCCCUUUAUGCUAUCCAGAAAUUCAAUAUCAUUUCCAAUCAGUAAUAUGUCAUCCAUAUAAUAUCAGAAAUGCUAUCGAGCUCCCACUCACUUUCUUGUAAAUACAGGCUUCCCCAAAAGUCUGUAUAAAACCAAAUGCUUUGAUCACACUAUCAAAGCGUUUAUUCCAACUCCGAGAGGCUUGCACCAGUCCAUAAAUGGAUCGCUGGAGCUUGCACACUUUGUUAGCUCCCUUUGGAUCGACAAAACCUUCCGGUUGUAUCAUAUACAACUCUUCUUCCAGAAAUCCAUUCAGGAACGCAGUUUUGACAUCCAUUUGCCAAAUUUCAUAAUCAUAAAAUGCGGCAAUUGCUAACAUGAUUCGGACAGACUUAAGCAUCGCUACGGGUGAGAAGGUCUCAUCGUAGUCAAUUCCUUGAACUUGUCGAAAACCUUUCGCAACAAGUCGAGCUUUAUAGAUAGUAACAUUACCAUCAGCGUCAGUCUUCUUUUUGAAGAUCCAUUUAUUUUCAAUGGCUUGCCGACCAUCGGGCAAGUCAACCAAAGUCCAUACUUUGUUCUCAUAUGGAUCCUAUCUCGGAUUUCAUGGCUUCAAGCCAUUUUGCGGAAUCUGGGCUCACCAUCGCUUCUUCAUAGUUCGUAGGUUCGCCAUGGUCUAAUAACAUGACCUCCAGAACAGGAUUACCGUACCAAUCUGGUGCGGAUCUUGAUCUAGUUGACUUACGAAGUUCAGUAAUAACUUGAUCUGAAGUUUCAUGAUCAUUAUCAUUAACUUCCUCACUAUUAGGUGUAGGUGUCGCAGAAACUGAUCUCUGCGAUGAUCUACUUUCCAAUAAGGGAGCAGGUACGGUUACCUCAUCAAGUUCUACUUUCCUCCCACUCACAUCUUUCGAGAGAAACUCCUUCUCUAGAAAGGAUCCAUUUCUAGCAACAAAUAUCUUGCCUUCGGAUCUGUGAUAGAAGGUGUACCCAACGGUCUCCUUUGGGUAUCCUAUGAAGACACAUUUCUCCGAUUUAGGUUCGAGCUUAUCAGGUUGAAGUUUCUUCACAUAAGCAUCGCAACCCCAAACUUUAAGAUACGACAACUUUGGUUUCUUGCCAAACCAUAGUUCAAAAGGCGUCGUCUCAACGGAUUUCGAUGGUGUCCUAUUUAGAGUGAAUGCAGCCGUCUCUAAAGCAUAACCCCAAAACGAUAGCGGUAAAUCAGUAAGAGACAUCAUAGAUCGCACCAUAUCUAGUAAAGUGCGAUUACGACGUUCAGACACACCAUUACGCUGUGGUGUUCCGGGUGGCGUGAGUUGCGAAACUAUUCCGCAUUGUUUCAAAUGUAGACCAAACUCGUAACUCAAAUAUUCUCCUCCACGAUCAGAUCGUAGGAAUUUUAUUUUCUUGUUACGAUGAUUUUCAACUUCACUCUGAAAUUCUUUGAACUUUUCAAAUGUUUCAGACUUAUGUUUCAUUAAGUAGAUAUACCCAUAUCUGCUCAAAUCAUCUGUGAAGGUGAGAAAAUAACGAUAUCCGCCACGAGCUUCAAUAUUCAUCGGACCACAUACAUCUGUAUGUAUGAUUUCCAACAAAUCUUUUGCUCUCUCCAUAGUUCCGGAGAACGGUGUUUUUGUCAUAUUGCCCAUAAGGCACGGUUCGCAAGUACCAAGUGAUUCAAAAUCAAGUGUUUCAAAAAUUCCAUCAGUAUGGAGUUUCUUCAUGCGCUUUACACCGAUAUGACCCAAACGGCAGUGCCACAUAUAAGUUGCACUGUCAUUAUUAACUCUGCAUCUUUUGGUUUCAACAUUAUGAAUAUGUGUAUCACUACUAUCGAGAUUCAUUAAAAAUAGACCACUCUUCAAGGGUGGAUGACCAUAAAAGAUAUUAUUCAUAUAAAUAGAACAACCAUUAUUCUCUGAUUUAAAUGAAUAACCGUCUCGCAUUAAACAAGAUCCAGAUAUAAUGUUCAUGCUCAACGCUGGCACCAAAUAACAAUUAUUUAGGUCUAAAACUAAUCCCGAAGGUAGAUGUAGAGGUAGCGUGCCGACGGCGAUCACAUCGACUUUGGAACCAUUUCCCACGCGCAUCGUCACCUCGUCCUUAGCUAAACUUCGCUUAAUCCGUAGCCCCUGUUUUGAGUUGCAAAUAUUAGCAACAGAACCAGUAUCAAAUACCCAAGUGCUACUGCGAGUAUUAGUAAGGUACACAUCAAUAACAUGUAUAUCACAUAUACCUUUGUUAACCUUGCCAUCCUUCUUAUCCGCCAAAUACUUGGGGCAGUUCCGCUUCCAGUGGCCAGUCUGCUUACAGUAGAAGCACUCAGUUUCAGGCUUAGGUCCAGACUUGGAUUUCUUCUCCUGAACAGCAACUUGCUUGCUAUUCUUCUUGAAGUUCCCUUUCUUCUUCCCUUUGCCCUUUUUCUUGAAACUAGUGGUUUUACUGACCAUCAACACUUGAUGCUCCUUUUUGAUUUCUACCUCCGCUGCCUUUAGCAUUGCGAAGAGCUCGGGAAUCGUCUUAUCCAUCCCUUGCAUGUUAUAGUUCAUCACGAAGCUCUUGUAGCUUGGUGGCAGUGAUUGAAGAAUUCUGUCAAUGACGCAAUCAUCCGGAAGUUGAACUCCCAGUUGAAUCAAGUGAUUAUUAUACCCAGACAUUCUGAGUAUAUGCUCACUGACAGAACUAUUCUCUUCCAUCUUGCAGCUAUAGAACUUAUUGGAGACUUCAUAUCUCUCAAUCCGGGCAUUUGCUUGAAAUAUUAACUUCAACUCCUGGAACAUCUCAUAUGCUCCAUGACGUUCAAAACGUCGUUGAAGUCCCGGUUCUAAGCCGUAAAGCAUGGCACACUGAACUAUUGAGUAGUCAUCAGCUUUGCUUUGCCAGACGUCCGUAACUUCUGGUGUAGCUCUUGCAGGAGGCCUGGCACCUAGCGGUGCUUCCAGGACGUAAUUCUUCUGUGCAGCAAUGAGGAUAAUCCUCAAGUUACGGACCCAGUCCGUGUAAUUGCUACCAUCAUCUUUCAACUUAGCUUUCUCAAGGAACGCAUUAAAAUUCAACGAAACAACAGCACGGGCCAUAUAUCUACAAUUAACAUAGACAAGCAAGAUACUAUCAGGUACUAAGUUCAUGAUAAAUUUAAGUUCAAUUAAUCAUAUUACUUAAGAACUCCCACUUAGAUAGACAUCUCUCUAAUCAUCUAAGUGAUUACGUGAUCCAAAGCAACUAAACCAUGACCGAUUAACAUGUGAGAUGGAGUAGUUUCAAUGGUGAACAUCACUAUGUUGAUCAUAUCUACUAUAUGAUUCACGCUCGACCUUUCGGUCUCUGUGUUCCGAGGCCAUAUCUGUAUAUGCUAGGCUCGUCAAGUUUAACCCGAGUAUUCCGCGUGUGCAACUGUUUUGCACCUGUUGUAUUUGAACGUAGAGCCUAUCACACCCGAUUAACACGUGGUGUCUCAGCACGAAGAACUUUUGCAACGGUGCAUACUCAGGGAGAACACUUUUAUCUUGAAAUUUUAGUGAGAGAUCAUCUUAUAAUGCUACCGUCAAUCAAAGCAAGAUAAGAUGCAUAAAGGAUUAACAUCACAUGCAAUCAAUAUAAGUGAUAUGAUAUGGCCAUCAUCAUCUUGUGCUUGUGAUCUCCAUCUCUGAAGCACCGUGCUUGUGAUCACCAUCUCCGAAGCACCAUCAUGAUCACCAUCGUCACCGGCUCGACACCUUGAUCUCCAUCGUAGUAUCGUUGUCGUCUCGCCAACUUAUUACUUUUACGACUAUCGCUACCGCUUAGUGAUAAAGUAAAACUAUUACAUGGCGAUUGCAUCUCAUACAAUAAAGCGACAACCAUAUGGCUCCUGCCAGUUGCCGAUAACUCGGUUACAAAACAUGAUCAUCUCAUACAACACAUUAUAUCACAUCAUGUCUUGACCAUAUCACAUCACAACAUGCCCUGCAAAAACAAGUUAGACGUCCUCUACUUUGUUGUUGCAAGUUUUACGUGGCUGCUACGGGCUUAGCAAGAACUGUUCUUACCUACGCAUCAAAACCACAACGAUAGUUUGUCAAGUUGGUGCUGUUUUAACCUUCGCAAGGACAGGGCGUAGCCACACUCGGUUCAACUAAAGUGAGAGAGACAGACACCCGCCAGUCACCUUUAAGCAACGAGUGCUCCGAACGGUGAAACCAGUCUCGCGUAAGCGUACGCGUAAUGUCGGUCCGGGCCGCUUCAUCUCACAAUACCGCUGAACCAAAGCAUGACAUGCUAGUAAGCAGUAUGACUUAUAUCGCCCACAACUCACUUGUGUUCUACUCGUGCAAAGCAUCAACGCAUAAAACCUGGCUCGGAUGCCACUGUUGGGGAACGUAGUAAUUUCAAAAAAUUUCCUACGCAUACGCAAGAUCAUGGUGAUGCAUAGCAACGAGAGGGGAGAGUGUUGUCCACGUACCCUCGUAGACCGACAGCGGAAGCGUUAUUACAACGCGGUUGAUGUAGUCGAACGUCUUCUCGAUCCGACCGAUCAAGUACCGAACGUACGGCACCUCCGAAGUUCUACACACGUUCAGCUCAAUGAUGUCCCUCGAACUCCGAUCCAGCCGAGUGUUGAGGGAGAGUUUCGUCAGCACGACGGCGUGGUGACGAUGAUGAUGUUCCACCGACGCAGGGCUUCGCCUAAGCUUCGCGACGGUAUUAUCGAGGUGUAAUCUGGUGGAGGGGGGCACCGCACACGGCUAAAAUAUCGUAUAUCAAGUGUGUUCUUAGGUGCCCCCUGCCCCCGUAUAUAAAGGAGCAAGGGGGAGGCCGGCUGCCUAUGGGGCGCGCCAAGGAGAGGGGGGGAGUCCUCCUCCUAGUAGGAGUAGGACUCCCCUUUCCUAGUCCUACUAGGAAAAGAAGGGGGGGAAGGAAAGAGAGGGAGAGGGAGAGGGAAAGGGGGCUGCGCCCCCCUCUCCUAGUCCAACUAGGACUCCUCUGGGAGGGGGCGCACCACCUCCUGGCUGCUGCCCUCUCUCUCCCCUCAAGGCCCACUAAGGCCCAAUACUUCCCCGGGGGGUUCCGGUAACCCUCCGGCACUCCGGUUUAAUCUGAAACUUCUCCGGAACACUUCCGGUGUCCGAAUAUAGUCGUCCAAUAUAUCAAUCUUUACGUCUCGACCAUUUCGAGACUCCUCGUCAUGUCCGUGAUCACAUCCGGGACUCCGAACAACCUUCGGUACAUCAAAUCACAUAAACUCAUAAUAUAACUGUCAUCGUAACUUUAAGCGUGCGGACCCUUUGGGUUCGAGAACUAUGUAGACAUGACCGAGACACCUCUCCGGUCAAUAACCAGUAGCGGGACCUGGAUGCCCAUAUUGGCUCCCACAUAUUCUACGAAGAUCUUUAUCGGUCAGACCGUAUAACAACAUACGUUGUUCCCUUUGUCAUUGGCAUGUUACUUGCCCGAGAUUCGAUCGUCGGUAUCUCGAUACCUAGUUCAAUCUCGUUACCGGCAAGUCUCUUUACUCGUUCCGUAAUACAUCAUCCCGCAACUAACUCAUUAGUCACAAUGCUUGCAAGGCUUAUAGUGAUGUGCAUUACCGAGUGGGCCCUGAGAUACCUCUCCGACAAUCGGAGUGACAAAUCCUAUUCUCGAAAUACGCCAACCCAACAAGUACCUUUGGAGACACCUGUAGAGCACCUUUAUAAUCACCCAGUUACGUUGUGACGUUUGUUAGCACACAAAGUGUUCCUCCGGUAAACGGGAGUUGCAUAAUCUCAUAGUCAUGGGAACAUGUAUAAGUCAUGAAGAAAGCAAUAGCAACAUACUAAACGAUCGGGUGCUAAGCUAACGUAAUGGGUCAUGUCAAUCACGUCAUUCUCCUAAUGAGGCGAUCCCGUUAAUCAAAUAACAACUCAUGUCUAUGGCUAGGAAACAUAACCAUCUUUGAUUAACGAGCUAGUCAUGUAGAGGCAUACUAGUGACACUUUAUUUGUCUAUGUAUUCACACAUGUAUUAUGUUUCCGGUUAAUACAAUUCUAGCAUGAAUAAUAAACAUUUAUCAUGAUACAAGGAAAUAUAUAAUACUUUAUUAUUGCCUCUAGGGCAUAUUUCCUUCAAUUUGGACAUCGGAAUGGUUCCGGGUGAGAUCGGGAAUAUACUGGAGUACCAGGAGGUUACCGGAACCCCCCGGGACGUAUAUGGGCCUUAUUGGGCCAUAGUGGGAGAGAGGAGAAGGGAGCAAAGGAGGGGGCACGCCCCCAGCCCAAUCCGAAUUGGGAGGGGGGCCGGGCCCCCUUUCCUUCCUCCUUCCUCCCCCUUCCUUCUCUCCUAAUCCAACUAGGGAAGGGGGAAUCCUACUCCCGGUGGGAGUAGGAAUCCCCUUGGGGCGCGCCUAGGGGGCUGGCCUCCUCCCCCUCCUCCCCUCAUUUAUAUACGGGGGAGGGGGCACCCCAUAGACACACAAGUUGAUCAUUGAUCUCUUAGCCGUGUGCGGGGCCUCCCUCCACCAUAACCCACCUCGGUCAUAUCGUCGUAGUGCUUAGGUGAAGCCCUGCGCCGGUAACUUCAUCAUCACCGUCAUCACGCCGUCGUGCUAACGAAGCUCUUCCCCGAAGCUCUACUAGAUCGUGAGUUCAUGGGACAUCACCAAGCUGAACAUGUGCAGAUCGCGGAGGUGUCGUACGUUCGGUACUAGGAUCGGUCGAUCGUGAAGACGUAUGACUACAUCAACCGCGUUGUCAUAACACUUCCGCUUUCGGUCUAUGAGGGUACGUGGACAACACUCUCCCCUCUUGUUGCUAUACAUCACCAUGAUCUUGCAUGUGCGUAGGAAAUUUUUUGAAAUUGCUGCGUUCCCCAACAGAUUUCAAUACUCAAGCAUACCAACAAGCAACCAUGUCUUUCAAAAUAUCACACUAAAGCAAGUUAUCCCUAGCCCAUUAUGCUCAAUCAUUGAUCCAUUCAUGAAACACACUCGCAUAUUAGCUACACCCAAUGCUCAAGUACGAUCAUAGUGCCCCUUAGUUGGUGCUUUAUAAGAGAAGAUGGAGACUCAAAUAAAAAUAAAAAAUUGCAUAAAGUAAAUAGAAAGGCCCUUCGCAAAGGGAAGUAGGGAUUUGUAGAGGUGCCAGAGCUCGAAAAAAGAUAGAGAUAAAACAUUUUGGGUGGCAUGCCUUUCCUGUCAACGAAAACGAUCGAGUAGUUCCCAAUACUUUCCAUGCUAGGUAUAUCAUAGGCGGUUCCCAAAUAGAAAAUAAAGUUUAUUCCUUUUUCCACCAUACUUUCACAUUCCACGGCUAACCGAAUCCAUGGGUACCGUCCAUACCAACACUUUCCAAGGAAUUUAUUAUUUGACAACAUAAAGUAAAUUCAUUUCUCAUUUCGGGACUGGGCAUCCCUAGUACAUUUGUCGUACUCUCGUGCAAUGACAAGUGAAUAAACACUCAUCUUGAGAAUAACACAUCUCGCAUGGAAAAAUAUCAGCCACCCCCUACCGUUUCAUGAGCAGUACUAGCACACAAAAAGGAAAUUUAUUUUGAAGAUUAGAGAUGGCACAUACAAAUUUGCUUAGAACGGCACGGAAAUACCGCAUAUAGGUAGGUAUAUUGGACUCAUAUGGAAAAAAUGGGUUUAAGAAUUUUGGGUUCACAAGUAGUAAUCCCACUUAGUAUAAGUGAAGGCUAGCAAAAGAUUGAGAAACAUCCAACCAAGAAAUUAAAAACCUCAUAAGCGAGCAUUAAGCAUAACUAACACCGAAUAAUGCACCACAAGUAGGAUGUAAUUUCAUUGCAUAACUAUUGACUUUCGUGCUUGCAUAAGGAAAACAUCAAUAUUCUUACUAAAGCAUAAUUACUCAUCAACAUGACUCACAUAUUAUAUCAUCAUACCACAAAACUAUUACAAAGAAUCAAGUUUAUUUUAUCCAAUGAUCUUCAUGAAAGUUUUUAUUAUACCCCUCUUGAAUAUUUAUCACUUUGGGACUAAUUUCAUAUGUUGCUUUUGAUAGCUCAAACAAAUCUAAGUGAAGAACAUGAGCAUAAAAAAUUUCUUCUCUCAAAAUAACAUAAGUGAAGCAUGAGAGAAUUUCUUACAAAUUUACUAACUCUCAAAUAAAUCUAAGUGAAGCAUGAGAGCAUUUCUUCAAAAAUAUUAAAGCACACCGUGCUCAAAAAGAUAUAAGUGAAGCACUAGAGCAAUUCCAUAGCUAAAAAAAUUAAGUGAAGCACAUAGAGCAAUUCUAACAAAUCAUAGCAUAAUUUUGGCUCUCUCAAAUAGGAAUAGAAUAAAAAUCAAAACAAGUAAAGACUCAUAUAAUACAAGAUGCUCCAAGCAAAACUCAUGAUAUGUGACGAAUAAAAAUAUGGCUCCAAGUAAAAUACCGAUGGUUGUUAGAAGAAAGAGGGGAUGCCACUUGGGGGCAUCCCAAAGCUUGGUUGCUUGUUCCUCUUUGGAUAAUAAUUUGGGGUGCCAUGGGCAUCCCCAAGCUUAGGCUCUUCUUACUCCUUAUUCCUUCAUCCAUCGUGAUCUCACCCAAAACUUGAAAACUUCAAUCACACAAAACUCAACCAAACCUUCGUAAGAUCCAUUAGUAUAACAAAGCAAAUCACUUAUCUAAGUAUUGUUGCAAACCCAUUCAUAUUUUAUUUUUGCAUUAUAUCUAUUGUAUUCCAACUUUACAAUAGCUUAUACCCUCCAAUACAAACCAUAUAUAGAUUCAUCAAAAUAAGCACACAACGCAAAGAAAACAGUAUGUGUCAAAAACAGACCAGUCUGUAGCAAUCUAAAAACUUCGAAUACUUUUGUAGCUCCAAAAUUAUGAAAAAUUAGGACAAUGUGUGCAAUUUGUAUAUCCAUUAUGUGUACAACAAUCGAGAUUUUAUCGCACUUUUGUGAAAUUAUAAUUGUUUUACUGGGUGCAAAAAAUUCUGUUUUUCAAAAAGAUCAAAUCAACUAUCACCCAACAUGAUCCCAAAGGCUUUGCUUGGCACAAACACUAAUUAAAACAUAAAAAACACAAUCAUAAUAGUAGCAUAAUUUUGCAAACACUCAAGAACAGAAAGAAAAAGACAAAAGUAAAUUUUAUUCAUGCAUUGGGUUGCCUCCUAACAAGCUCUUUUUUAUAGCCAUUCAGAUAGGCUUAAGAUUUCAACGAUGCUCACACGAAAGAUAGUAAUUGAAACAUGAAGAUAGCAUCAAGUAGCAUGUGAAAAACAAGUUUAAGUCUAACAUACUUCCUAUGCAUAGGCAUUUUAUAUGCAUUCAAAUUAUCAAGAUAAGCAAAAACUAGCAUAUGCAAGGAAGAAGAAAGAAACAAUAGUAAUCUCAACAUAACAAGAGGUAAUUUGGCAACAUGAAAAUUUCUACAACCAUAUUUUCCUCUCUCAUAAUAAUUACAUGUAGGAUCAUAAUCAAAUUCAACAAUAUAGCUAUCAAAUAAAAUUUUCUUUUUAUGAUCCACAUGCAUGCAAAGUUGACACUCUUCCAAAAUAGUGGGAUUAUCAUCAAAUAAAGUCAUGACCUCUCCAAGCCCAAGAUUGAACACUCUCCAAAUAUGUGGGAUUAUUUUUAGUUAAAUUUGACACUCUUCCAAACCCAGUUUUAAUAUUAUCGCAAGCAUAUUCAUCAUGAGGUUUGAAUAAAUUUCCAAGAUCAUAAGAAUCAUUAUCACCCCGAUCAUGAUCAUUGCAAUAAGUAGUGGACAUAACAAAAUAAGCAUCCCCAAGCUUGGGGUUUUGCAUAUCACUAACACAAUUGACAUUAAUAGAAUUCAUAAUAACAUCAUUGCAAUCAUGCUUUUCAUUCAAGGAGCUAUCAUGAAUCAGUUUAUAAAUUUCUUCGUUUAACACUUCAUCACAAUUUUCAGAUUCAUGAAUCUCAAGCAAAACUUCAUAAAGAUAAUCUAGUGAACUCAAUUCACUAUCAAUUGGUUCAUCAUAAUAAGAUCUUUUGAAAAAAUUAGCAACUAGGUGAGGAUCCAUAUCAAUAGAAUUUCAGUGAGCAAAGAUGCAAGUAAAUGGAAGGCACAUGGCAACAUAAGCAAAGACGCAAACGACAAAAAGGCAAACGAAAAAAGAAGGCAAAUAAAAAGGAAAAUAUUUUUGUGCUUUUGCAAAACGCUUUAGAAGUGGGGGAGAUGAAAACAAGAGGAAAAUGGCAAAUAAUGUAAAUUGCAAUGAGAUGAUAUUUGUGAUUGGGAACCUGAUAGAUGUUGAUGAUGUCUCCCCGGCAACGGCGCAAGAAAUUCCUUCUGAUGCGGCUUGAACUACGUCGGUAUUUCCCCGAAGAGGAAGGGAUGAUGCAUCACAGCUACGGUCGGUAUUUCCCUCAGUGAUGAGACCAAGGUUAUCAAACCAGUAGGAGAACCACGCAACACUAUGUAAACGGUACCUGCACACAAAGAACAAAUACUUGCAACCUGACAGGUAAGAGGGGUUGUCAAUCCCUCCCGGGUAAAAAGAUAGAUAAAUUUGUAGUAGAUUGGAUAAAUAGAUCUCGCGGAAACGCGAAAUAAAAUAAAUAAUAAAAAAUUGCAGCAAGGUAUUUUUGGGUUUUUCGAUUAAUAGAUCUGAAAAUAAAAGCAAAUAAAAAU
rnacentral:lncRNA from 1 species